AUGCACAAAAUAUUUAUCAUAUUCGGAUUACUGUCAUUAUGUGCUGCUCAUUCCCUUCGAGACCUUUCAAAUAAAGAUGAGGAGGACCCUCCCUCUUCAGCUCCAGGUGUUAGAAAACGGAGAAUGAUGUCAGAGGAAGAUCAGAAAACAGUUGACUAUUAUAUGGAUAAACUGAAUAAAUUGGCUGAUGAGAAGCACCCAGAGGAAAUCGAACGACACAAGAAUCCAGAGUUGGUAGCAUGGGAUCGUAAGAGAGAUAGUGUGCUGAAUCCAGAAGAGCAGGGAAAAUUCUUUCAAGGAGAUAUUGUUCUCUAUCCAGAGCAAGCAAAGGCUCUUUAUGAGCAAGCACUAACUGAAGGAAAAACAAGAGUAAAGAGAAAAUUCAUUGGGUCUAACUUGAGAAGAUGGGACGCCAGUCGACCGAUAAUUUAUGCUUUUGAUGGAAGUCACACCCAACGCGAACAAAGAAUCAUCGAACUUGCACUUGAACACUGGCACAAUAUAACUUGUCUCAACUUUCAAAGAAACGAUCAAGCUAACUCUGGAAAUCGAAUUGUAUUCACUGAUGUUGAUGGAUGUGCAUCAAAUGUUGGGAGACAUCCACUCGGAGAAGAACAACUUGUUUCACUUGCACCUGAAUGUAUUCGAUUAGGAGUUAUUGCUCAUGAAGUUGCACAUGCUCUUGGCUUCUGGCAUGAACAAUCGAGACCCGAUAGAGAUCAAUAUGUAACAGUUAGAUGGGAAAAUAUUGAUAAAGAUUCAAAGGGGCAAUUCUUGAAAGAAGAUCCUGAUGAUGUUGAUAAUGCUGGAGUACCAUAUGAUUAUGGAAGUAUCAUGCAUUACCGGUCCAAGGCAUUCUCAAAGUUUGAUGAUUUGUAUACAAUCAGUACCUAUGUCACGGAUUAUCAAAAAACUAUUGGUCAACGUGAUCAGUUAUCUUUUAACGACAUCCGACUAAUGAAUAAAAUCUACUGCUCCGCAGUCUGCCCAUCAAAACUUCCAUGUCAACGUGGAGGAUACACGGAUCCACGUCGUUGUGAUCGUUGUCGAUGUCCUGAUGGAUUCACCGGGCAAUACUGCGAACAAGUGAUGCCUGGAUACGGAGCCACUUGUGGUGGAAAAAUCAGUUUAACUAGAUCUACAACUAGAAUAUCAUCACCUGGAUAUCCAAGAGAAUUCAAAGAAGGACAAGAAUGCUCAUGGCUUCUCGUUGCUCCACCAGGUCAUAUUGUAGAAUUUCAGUUUAUUGGAGAAUUUGAGAUGUACUGCAAAAUUAGACAUUCUUUGUGCAUGGACUACGUAGAAGUUAGAAACUCUACUGAUUUUGCAAAUACUGGAAUGAGAUAUUGUUGCUAUGGAACUCCUCCAACUAGAAUCCGUUCUGCAACUACUGAUAUGGUUGUACUUUUCCGAAGCUUCUACCGUGGUGGUAAAGGCUUUGAAGCAAGAGCCCGUGCAGUACCAGAGUGGGGAGCCAGUAGAAACACAAAUUUGCAAUACUCAAGCUUGUACGGGUAUGUGCGCUCAGAAACGGGAGGAAGAGGGUCAAUGUGGAGGUUUCCUUUCUUUGUUACGAGGCGUCCGUUGUAGACAAGAGAAGACGGUGAUGGCUCCAUGCGAGAACGCGUGCUGUCCAGGUUUCACUCUUCAGCGUGGCAGAUGUGUCCGGUGA
rnacentral:misc_RNA from 1 species